rnacentral:rRNA from 1 species
GAUGAACGCUGGCGGCGUGCUUAACACAUGCAAGUCGAACGAAGCAUUUAGAACAGAUUAUUUCGGUAUGAAGUUCUUUAUGACUGAGUGGCGGACGGGUGAGUAACGCGUGGGUAACCUGCCUUGCACUGGGGGAUAGCAGCUGGAAACGGCUGGUAAUACCGCAUAAGCGCACAAUGUUGCAUGACAUGGUGUGAAAAACUCCGGUGGUAUAAGAUGGACCCGCGUCUGAUUAGCUAGUUGGUGAGAUAACAGCCCACCAAGGCGACGAUCAGUAGCCGACCUGAGAGGGUGACCCGCCACAGUGGGACUGAGACACGGCCCAGACUCCUACGGGAGGCAGCAGUGGGGAAUAUUGCACAAUGGAGGAAACUCUGAUGCAGCGACGCCGCGUGAGUGAAGAAGUAAUUCGUUAUGUAAAGCUCUAUCAGCAGGGAAGAUAGUGACGGUACCUGACUAAGAAGCUCCGGCUAAAUACGUGCCAGCCGCCGCCGUAA